UUUGGUCUUCUGAAUAGAGCCUUAUUUGUCUUCAAAGCGCCUCAUUUACUUUUCCUUCAAAAUGGGCCAUAAAAUACUACAAGAGUUGUGAAAUUGAGCCUAGUCUUUUCCGGGACUGUGAUGCCCUGAUAAGGAAUCUACAGGGAAGAGUGGAAAUUCUUGCAGUCAAUGUACAUGUGGAGGGAGAUAUUUUCAUCGAGCAGUUUGAUGAUCAUGAGGAUGAUUCAUCGAGUUUGAGGACGGAUUCUACAGGUUCAGUCCUUCAGCUGAGUGAGAAAAUGCAAAAGCAGACUAUUUCUUCAGAAAGUGGGAUUUCCAAGGAAAAAGAAAAACUGAGGAAACUUGCAAAAAGUGGGAGUUCCGAGGGCGAAGUAAAACUGAACAAGUACACUACUUGCAACGCUGUUGUGGGAUUCAAAAGAAUACAGAGAGCAUUUUAAGAGUGACUGGCAUAAGCAUAACCAAAGGCGUAAAACUAGGCAACUCCCUCCACUUACAGCUGAAGAAUGUAUGGCUGAUCUGGAACUUGGAAACUCGAAGGCUGAUCUAAAAGAAUAUUCAUUUUGAGGUUUUGAUGCAAUUAUUACUGAAUGUAAGGAUUGAUGUUGCACAAGUCAUGCAUGUAAUGUUGUGCAUUGAUUGGUGGCCGAGUUUCUGUUAAGAAGUCUGAGAGAGCUUAAAAAGAAUCUCUUCACUAUCAGUCUUGGUCAGUAGUCAAGAUACAAGCCAGCAAUAUCCACAGCCUGCAACAAGUUUGCAC